CGAGGCAAGCCAAUCAAAAGUCGUGUUCAUCUUUCCGCCUGUCUGUUAAAUGCGCAUCACUAAAAUGUUUCAGAAGUCUUCUACUCCUCAACGGAUCAUCACAAUGAGCUGGAUGUAUGUCUUCAUACCCAUCAUCUGGGGUGCUGUUGUGUCCUCAUACACAGUGGAGCUGACCGUGAGACCAGGAGAAAACGUUACUCUACACUGUGACUUUAAACCCUCAACUGGUGAAACUAUUGUUUGGUACAGGAACUGUUCUCAUGAGAAUCAGCCCCCACGUAUUAUAAUAUGGGAUGAAUUAAGAAGGAACCCCCAUUCAUUCAAGGAUCUGAAUGUGAUGUGGAACCAUUCUUCAAAAUCAUACAAUUUACUGAUAAGGAACAUCACUGAUUCUCACCUUGGUCUCUACUACUGUGGAACUGAAAAAAGUUAUGUGAUAGAUGCAGACAAGAUAGUUCAAAAAUAUAUCUACAAAUAUGGAAAUGUGACCACAAGGAUUUCAUUUGUUAAGCCUCUAGAUUCAUGUGCAGACUGUGGACAGUGCUGGACGCUGCUGGUCACCCUGUGCCCGUCCUCUGCUCUCCUCUCUUUGUUCCUCUACUUCCUCUGCAGUCAAAUGGUUCGUGCCCGAAAUCACCCUGGCGUUUCUCAGGAAACAAGACCUUUAACACUGCAACAUGAGGAUGAAAUCUACAGCCGUGUGUUUUAUGCUGUGUUGAAAACACAACACAAAGGAUCUCACAGCUUCUCCGCCCGCAGUACGAGUGGGCUUUGAGAGGUGGAUUGGUUAGGGUUCUUCUCACCGCAACGCACACAGCCCAACGCACCCACAUAGACUCAUUCCCACCAAAACACAUGCUGUACAGUCGCACACACAAACGCAUGUUUGCAUUGAAAUUCCCUUGUUAUUUUGACACCUUGAAAAAAGGUACAAUAUGUUGCACAAAAAAACAUUGAAAUAUGCAUUUGUAUAUCAUUUUCUGCCAAAAAGUAACCAGUCUGUGUUGAUAAAAAUGUAUGAAUAAAUAAAAACCAAUACCUAAUUUGAGUAAAAAAAAUA